GAACCCCCGUAAAGCAGCCGGUCCGGACUCAGUCUCGCCUCGCACCCUGAAGCAUUGUGCUGACCACCGGUAUCCUGUGUUCACCGCCAACUUCAACACCUCCUUGGUGACAUGCCACGUCCCAGCUUGCUCCAAAGCCUCCAACAUCAUCCCAGGAUCCCAAGAAGCCCAGGAUCACAGGACUGAAUGACUACAUGUGGUCUGUAGUCAUGAAGUCCUUUGAACGGCCAGUCAUGUCCCACCUGAAGACCGUCGCGCGAGCAAAGCAAGGACUAAACGGGAGACUCAAAGCAAUAUGAAAAUGUUUAUUUGUGACAGGAGUAUUCUGUCCUGCAAGUUUCAAGCUAUCUAGCAACAGCAAUGAAAGGGCGCUCAAUACAGAGUGCGCUCAUAUUAUAUAGUCUUUAAGAGCAUUUUUCAUUGAUUUACUAGGCGGCUCCUUGUUUAGGACCUUCAGAGAGCCCCAUUGGAGGACAGGGACGUCCAUCCCUUCAGGCUGUCGGAUCAUCACGCCUCCCGCUGUUCGUGAGUUCACUGCAUAUUUAGGAUGUUUUGUGUGUGAGACAUGUUAUUCUCAAUUUUCUGUUUUAUCUACAUUUUACCCAGAAAGUGCCUGCAGCUCUUUAGCAACAAGUUCACUGCAUAUUUAGGAUGUUUUCCGUGUGAGCCAUGCCCACCCUAGUCCCAUGUACGGACAUGUCCCUGAGAGUGUGUGCAGCCGGCCUUCACUCAUUAUUAUUACAUUAUUGUUCAAGUGUAAUUACAGUCUAGCGUGAGCAUGCAUGAUUAUAUUUAAUACUCAACGAGACCGUCACUGACCCCCUCCUGGACCCCCUGCAGUUCGCCUACAGAGCCAACAGGUCUGUAGGCGGUGCUGUCAACAUGGCCCUCCACUUCGUCCUCCAGCAUCCCAAGGCUGCGUUCUUUCCCCUCUGCUCUUCUCCCUGUACACCUCUUGGAUAUCCUUCUCCUAUCUCCCUCCCCCACUUAUGCUCGUAACAAGGCUUGGAUCUGAAUCGGCGUCCUCUUGGAUAUCUCCCUCCCCCCACUUAUGUUUACUCUGUAUUCAUCAGCUGCUGCAUGGAAACACCACUGCAUUUCUCCAAAAGGGCGUCAGUUGCUGCCAAAAGCGGUUGUUAAUUUAUCCAUUAUUUGUUUUGAUGUUGACCACAGAAUCUGCCGACUUUGAGCGAA